GACUCCAUAGCUAAGUGGUUAUAGCAUGAGAUUGCAGCUUUCUAGCUUUAUCUCGGGGUCGCGUGUUCGAGUCACGCUGGGGUCU